UACCAGCAUCCGCGGUAAUACGGAUGGUGCAAGCGUUAAUCGGAAUUACUGGGCGUAAAGGGCGCGUAGGCGGUUUGGUAAGUUGGGUGUGAAAGCCCCGAGCUCAACUCAGGAAUUGCAUUCAAAACUGCCAGGCUAGAGUGUGGUAGAGGGAAGCGGAAUUCCAGGUGUAGCGGUGAAAUGCGUAGAUAUCUGGAGGAACAUCAGUGGCGAAGGCGGCUUCCCGGACCGAUACUGACGCUGAGACGCGAAAGCGUGGGGAGCAAACAGGAUUAGAUA
rnacentral:rRNA from 1 species